AUGCCUGGGAGGUCGACCAUGGAAGCCAUUUUCUUGGUACGACAGCUUAUGGAGAGAUAUAGGGAGCAAAAGAAGGACUUGCAUAUGGUGUUCAUUGACUUGGAGAAGGCCUAUGAUAAGAUACCGCGGAAUGUCAUGUGGUGGGCCUUGGAGGAACACAAAGUCCCAGCAAAGUACAUUACCCUCAUCAAGGACAUGUACGAUAAUGUUGUGACAAGUGUUCGAACAAGUGAUGUCGACACUGAUGACUUCCCGAUUAAGAUAGGACUGCAUCAGGGGUCAGCUUUGAGCCCUUAUCUUUUUGCAUUGGUGAUGGAUGAGGUCACAAGGGAUAUACAAGGAGAUAUCCCAUGGUGUAUGCUCUUUGCGGAUGAUGUGGUGCUAGUUGACGAUAGUCGGGUGGGGGUAAAUAGGAAGUUAGAGUUAUGGAGACAAACCUUGGAAUCGAAAGGGUUUAGGCUUAGUAGGACUAAAACCGAGUACAUGAUGUGCGGUUUUAGUACUACUAGGUGUGAGGAGGAGGAGGUUAGCCUUGAUGGUCAGGUGGUACCUCGGAAGGACACCUUUCGGUAUUUGGGGUCAAUGCUGCAGGAGGAUGGGGGUAUUGAUGAAGAUGUGAACCAUCGGAUCAAAGCCGGAUGGAUGAAGUGGCGCCAAGCUUCUGGCAUUCUCUGUGACAAGAGAGUGCCACAAAAGCUAAAAGGCAAGUUCUACAGGACGGCGGUUCGACCCGCAAUGUUGUAUGGCGCUGAGUGUUGGCCGACUAAAAGGCGACAUGUUCAACAGUUAGGUGUGGCGGAGAUGCGUAUGUUGAGAUGGAUGUGUGGCCACACGAGGAAGGAUCGAGUCCGGAAUGAUGAUAUACAAGAUAGAGUUGGGGUAGCACCAAUUGAAGAGAAGCUUGUCCAACAUCGUCUGAGAUGGUUUGGGCAUAUCCAGCGCAGGCCUCCAGAAGCUCCAGUGCAUAGCGGAUGGCUAAAGCGUGCGGAGAAUGUCAAGAGAGGGCGGGGUAGACCGAAUUUGACAUGGGAGGAGUCAGUUAAGAGAGACCUGAAGGAUUGGGGUAUCACCAAAGAGCUAGCUAUGGACAGGGGUGCAUGGAAGCUUGCUAUCCAUGUGCCAGAGCCAUGA
rnacentral:rRNA from 1 species